CUAAAUGGAAACACAUUCCCGUUUACACCUGUUUUCAAUCCAUCGCCUGAUUUGAUCACAACACCAGCAGUAGAGUUGUGGUUUCCCUCAGUGUGCUGGAGCAAUUGAUGCUUCCCAGAAACCCAUCACUCCUCCUUUUGAAGAUGCAAAACACUAUUCCAACAGAAAAGACACACAGGAAAUUGUCUUCAUUAUGCUUCUUGGUGACCCGCAUACCCCUCUUGAGCUGGCUGAUGAAGGGAUUUCCAGACAAUGGUCAUCUGUCCAGAGAAGAGAGGUGUUUCAUCUACUGUCUGAGCCGUGCACACAUGACUGCUGAAUGUGCGUUUGGUCACUGAAGAGGAUUUGGAGAUGUUGGAAGAUGGAACAGAAGUUCUCUGUGUUUUACAGAGCCAACUGACGGUUUUCCCAAGGGCAUCAAAUCUAGUAAAGCAAAUCUUGAAUACCAUCCAAACCAGCUGGCAAACAUUUGCCUUUGGGAUAGGUGGUGCAGAAAGGAAACAUUAUCCAUGAUAAGAAGAUCUGCAGACACUGACAUUGGGAGCACUAAAAUCACCUCCAUUCCCACCUAAUCUCAUAUAUGGAAACUAACUUGCUUGGUUUGUC